UUUUGAUUAACCUGUAUGGACACCAUCUAAACAAGUCUAUGCUGGCGCAAGCCCUUCCCAAAGUGAGGCUGCAUCAAGCGCACGUACAAACCAUUUUUAGCCAUUAACGAAUCAUGCGCACCUUCCUCAACUAUUCUCCCUCCAUUCAGUACAACAAUGUUGUCAACAUGUCUCAUCAUGGCAGCUCGGUGAGCAAUCAAGAUAGUUGUUUUAUUUCCCAUGAUCAGAGUAUCAAGAGCCUCCUGCACCACUCGGCUAGACUCAGAUUCAAUGGCUGAGCUUGCUUCAUCCAAUAACAAUAUUGGAGCAUUCUUUAAUACGACCCGAGCAAUUGCAAUUCUUUGUUUUUGCCCUGGGGUCAGAUCUACACCUCUCAUUCCAACAUGGGUGUCAUAACCAUGAGGCAAGCUACUAAUGAAAUGAUGUGCAUUGGCUAUUCUUGCUGCCUCUUUCAUCUCAGCUUCACUCGCGUUGUGCCUUGCAUAUAUUAUGUUCUCUCUUAUUGUAGUUGAGAAGAUAAUAGGCUCCUGUUGGACAAGACCCAAGUGGUUCCUCAACCAUCUCAAAUUAUAUGAUUUCAAAUCUCUGCCAUCCAACAGUACCUGUCCAGCAACCGGAUCAUAGAACCUUUGUAUCAAGGAUAUAAUAGUGCUCUUACCAGACCCUGAAACCCCCACCACUGCCACAGUUUGUCCUCCAUUGACUUUGAGACUGAAAUUGCUCAGAACUAACACUUCUGGUCGAGAUGGGUAAGAAAAAUCGACAUUUUUCAGCUCAAUGCUUCCAUAAACAUUGGGAGGUUUCAUUGCUGAGUUAUCAUCAGGAUCAAUCUUAGGAACUCGAUCAAUGAUUUCAAAUACUGAGGCAAGGGAUUUCCUUCUUUUCAAAAUAUAGGGAGCC
rnacentral:lncRNA from 1 species